CUUUCAUUCCUGCAUUAGUUCAUUUUCAAAGUUGUACAGGCGUGAGCCAAAAUCUCAGCCUACUUUGCUUGAAAAACAGUAAGGAACAAAAGGCCUUGAUCCAGUCGCUGUGCAGACGGAUGACACGAUUGCUAAACAGAAAAAUGACGGCAGGGCCUAGCAAUACUGUGGCCACACAAAAAGCCCCUGGUCUUACAGAAGCUUCCAAAUCUGGUCUCUAAAUGGGACUUCCAGACCGAAAGAACUUGAAUCAACUUUGUUGUUACUUGGGAUGUGUGAGGUCAGCGUUGGAACAUUUGGCAAGCCCAGGCUGAGGACGUUUCAUGAGUGUCUGCAUUACUCUGACAUCUGUCACAGGUGCCUGGCAUGGUGCUGGCACACACUGGGGACCUCCCAGCACAGCGUGCCUUUUGCUGGCCUCAGGAGGGUGAGCCCAAUACACAAAUACACACACGUGCUCCUCACUGUGCUCAGAGGAACACACUCAUUUCUGCUACUAUACAUCUAGAAAAACACAACCCGGGAGAUGGCUCUGGAAUCACAACACAGGUAGGAACAGAAUUGUCUUGGUGAUCUCAGAUGCCAUUCAUUAGCCUACAAAUAAUGUAGGCUUGCUUGUGUGCAAAUCUGCUUCCCAUUCUGAAUCUGUAAAAUCUGCUUAUGGACAGUAGAUACACAGAGCUGAACUGUGGACACAAAGAUGUAAAUAUACCCAUGAUAGGAAGCCAAGAGUUGCACAGAAGAGGCUUCAGAGGACACCAGAACACCAACUUGGAUUCAGCUUUUGAAUUAAUAAAUGACCUUCACCAUUACAACUGAACUCAGCAAAACCCCACACCUGAAACCACCAAAUUCUAAGGUUUUUGAAGCCAUGCAAAACAAAUUCCUCCUCCUCCUGGUCCCACACCUUUUGCAUCAAAGGCUCUGCAGGUAAGGGGACAUGGAGGGCACCCAGUCUGUGCCUGUAGGGCCAUUGCCUUCAGGGACCAGCUGCCGGGCACGGAAUCGAUGGUGGGCUGACAAGCUGCUGCGUGCGAUUAAACAGACUAAAUGACACGGUAAAGGCAGGGACUGUUUUCAAGGGACUGUUUCAUUGACAAAAGAAUCUCCCCAUAAGCACCCACUAGAGCUGUCACUAAGGUUCAGGGUCCUACACAUACCUGUUACUUCUUGUUUGCUUCUCAGUACCCGUAGCAGCACGCAGUUUCCCUGCCUCAGUGCUGAAAUACAAGUGUUAAUAACUGUAAAUCAAGCAGCAACUUCACCAAAGUAAGGCUUUUAAACACCUGCAAACGCAGAUGGCACAACACCUCCGUGUUCAUGUGCUGCAUCGCAGGUAUGUCCUGAAUUUGGGAACAUUUUGAGGUGUGACACUUUGGGUGCCAUCCUGGUAUUUCUGCUCAACAGGUAGCUCCACCAAUUGGGGAUUAGCACCCCAAAAGUUUUCUUCGGUGAAGGAGGCUGACAUGGCCUGUGUACGGCUCCUCCCAGACAUAACUGUAGGAACCCAUCAGUCAUAGAUCAGUCAGUGCAUUAAUUAGGGUUGAAUUGGCAAUAGUUAGCUGGUUUUUCUAUUGUCUGCCUUCCAACAAUGUACAGAAUACAGUUCACAAUAUUUCCUUCCUGUUUCUAGUAAUUGAAGAUUUAAUUAUUAAAAUCUAUGCUUACAAUGAAGUUUUAGGAAAAUGGAGUAUUUGAAAAAAGAGAUACAUAUUUCCUUUAGUAAUAUGAUUUGAUUUAUGGAUUUUCAAACUUACCACUUCAGCCUGAACUCAAAAAGCAGAAAAAUACUUUAAGUUGACAGUUCUUUAGGAUGAAUUGCAGAUACUUUUUUUGGAUGCUGACAGUAAUUUCCUUCAGGAUAUUCUUCUGGCUGAGAAGCUGUAAACAAAAAGACUUGCAGCAGCAGAAAUAGACAUGAAGACAAACAACUAAAAGAAUUAGAUCAGUACAUUGUUAAUUAUUUUGAUACUGAAUUUGGCUCCUUUGGAUCUAAACCAAAUACAUUUAUUUUUUAGAAC